rfam:Pygoscelis adeliae contig44332, whole genome shotgun sequence.
UGGACCAAUAGACCAAACUACUCAGCCAUAACAGCGCUGUCUCCUCCAGGAGCCCAUGUGGACAAGGACGUUUAUGACAUCAAUGUUGGACCAGGACAUCCUAAAAGUGCAGCUGCUAUUACGGGUUGGUUUGUCCAACGAUUACGAGUCCUACAUGAGCUGAGCUCAGACCGGUGCAGUCCAGGUCGGUUUCUAUCC